rnacentral:rRNA from 1 species
GACGUAGGGGGCGAGCGUUGUCCGGAUUUAUUGGGCGUAAAGCGCGCGUAGGCGGCCGCGCAAGUCGGAUGUGAAAACCCGGGGCUCAACCCCGGGCGUGCACUCGAUACUGCGCGGCUCGAGACAGGUAGGGGAGAUCGGAAUUCCUGGUGUAGCGGUGAAAUGCGCAGAUAUCAGGAGGAACACCGGUGGCGAAGGCGGAUCUCUGGGCCUGUUCUGACGCUGAGGCGCGAAAGCUAGGGGAGCGAACAGG